CUCAUUUUCUCUUGCUGCCGCCAGGUAAGAAGUGCCCUUCACCUUCUGAGGCCUCCCCAGCCAUGUGGAACUGUCCUCUCAGAUCUACCAUGUGAGUGCACACAUCCUUCCAGUCAACCAGAGAUUCUGUGCAUUUCUUCUGGAGAGAUCUGAUGCACAGUGAUAACUCGGCGAUACCUACACAAACUGUAGGCCAUUUUCCAGUGAUUGAAGCCACUGUUCUGGAAAGGAUGUAUGCCCAGCUUUCGAAGACACAGUCCCACAUAUACGUCUUCAAGGUGAAGCAGCCUUGUGUGGAGUGAGGUCUUGUAAAUGAGUUCAGCUACAUCGGCUGAAAAGAUGUAGCCAGUCCCCGAACAGAAAGGAAGUUAGUGGGGCAGAAUUUUCAAUUUAAGAAGCACGUAUUUCUCCUAGAAACUGCAUGGUAGAUUGUCUGUUAUUCUGAAUAAUUUAUUUCAAGAAACCCACAGAAUUGCUGAAAUUCUUUUGUACAGCCAGAGGUGGGGUCGCUUUGGGACUCUGAGAUUCUCACGCAGGAAGUUUACUGGAGCAUGUUCUUAGGAACAACACCUGUCUCUAAUGUGAGAGGAGAAAGAAGAAGGCAAAGGGAGAGUCUGAACCUUGAUGCAGUCACAGCACAGACCUGAGCUGACCCUGCAGGGAGCUCUGGGGCUGGGAU
rnacentral:lncRNA from 10 species